rfam:Folsomia candida strain VT population Fcan01_Sc018, whole genome shotgun sequence.
GUCAAGGGCCAUACCACGUUGAAUGCACCAGUUCUCGUCCGAUCACUGAAGUUAAGCAACGUCGGGCCCGGUUAGUACUUGGAUGGGUGACCGCUUGGGAAUCCCGGGUGCCCUUGGCG